GUGUGUGAGCCCGCGCAGGUUCGCUUGUGCAAUCGUGCAAGCGACGCGUGUGAGGAGAGUUUGUGAAACUGUGUUUGUUAAACGGUGCCAGAUAGAGAUAGCAGCAAAGUGGGUGGCGGACGGUUAUCGGAAAUGGUUUAUUUAUUUUUCGUGUGACUUUUAGCAAACUUCUCGUCGUUCUACUUGCUGAUAAGGUGCCGUCGCCAUGCUGACCAGCGGUGCCGGAGGGAAAACGUAGUGCUCCCCACCGUUUUGUGUAGAAUGUACGUGCGAUUUGCGAUUAAGCUUUACUGCCGACGCUGCCACACUGGACGCACAUUACGCAAAGUAAAGAGAAUCUGUGCACGAUACUGACGAGUGCGAAAAUGUCCGACGAUGACACACCACGUACAGCUGUGUCCCCGCCAUUAAACUGCGCAAAACCGGAGACCGCACCAUCAUCACCCGUUGAGCCAGAACAUCGCGAACAGCGGCAGCUCGCCGAAAAGGGGCAACCCGUGGUGGAGGAUGUGAAAGUGAAACGUGAAACAGAACAAGAAACAGAACCGACCGAACCGAACGGUGCUAGUAGUAGGGUGCUGCCGCCGCCGCUGAACCGACCGGAUGACCAUGAAGCGAUAACGAACAGGCAACGAAAAUGCGUUCAAUUUACGACCCCAGCAGCGGCGGGCAGCGCGACUGCCGACGACACGCUGCUCAAGUUUAUCGAAGGUGAGGAAAUAUUGGACAAAGAGAACCCGUUCAAAACCGACGAGCUGGCGAGCGUGCUGGAGAAGCAAUACGGUGCCGCACACCGCCAAACGGACAGUGUGCGCGAUAAAACUUUUCCCGGUAACGCUGCCAGUAUCGACGAUGAUGAUGACGAUGGCGAAGACGACGGUGGCGAUAAUACCGACACCGAUCUUGACAGCGAUAACGUGUUCAUUACGAAGGAGGAAGUGCUGCGACAGUCCAAGUAUGUGAAGACCUACAUUAAAAAUCCUGAUAAGCAGCUCAAUUAUGAUAAAUGUGUAAUCCAAAAGCUGAACGCGCUCAAGGCGAAGGGGCGACAGGUGCGGGACGUUGUGGUGAUGGAGGGUACCACAUCGUCACCGCCGGGCGUGAGACCGCCAAUUCCGGCCCCCCGCAUGGUACACCAGCGGCAGCAGCUGAGCGAUCGAAACAAUAACAGCAGACGGCAGCAACGCUCACCGCAAACCGUAUCACCGCGUGGCGGAAACCCGAAACCCGUGCCGCGUGCUAGACGAUACGACUACGCGGAGGUGAAGGUGCGCAUCGGUUCGGCCGAGACGGAAGAGUCGCUGUACGACUCGAAUGAGGUCGUCCAGAACGCGCUCAAGUUCGACAGUCGGUUCAGGAAGGUGGAGUUUGGGUCGCAAGACGAUAUAGACACGAUCGCCGAGCGAACCGAGGACGGAAGCGAUCAAACGGUUGGCCAAGACACGCCCGAAACGACGGUACAAAGCCGCGAAAGUCCGUCGAAAUCCGCGAGUGCGGGCAAAGGGUCGGUGAACGGUUCACCGGCCAAGAAGGAUCAGCCCGAUGGGCGAAAGUCGACCUUUGCCGAGGAUGUGAAGAAAUCGUUCUCCAACACGGUAAAAAGUGCCGACUUUCGGAAGUACCUGCAAAGCAAGGGACUCUCCCUGGUGCCGGCCAAGCCGAAAGCUAUCGAAGGUUCCCCGCGCGUCAGUGGGCCGGCGGAGUCGACGGAAUCGGUCGGCAAGAGCCUUCGACUGUCAGCAAUCUCGACUAGCAGUACACCGGCCCGGCUGCAGCAGGCCAAACCCUCGGUGCUCGCGCGGCUCUUCCAGAGCAACGGGCUGUUCACGCCCAAAACGCCAAAUGAGCCGGCCUACUCGGCGGUAUUUGCCCGGUCCUCUACGCCCGUGCUUCAAAGCUCGCAACAGGGGCGCCUGACUCCUCGCUCUCAGCUCCCGAUGCGCUUCGGCAGCUUUAACGGUUCGCUCAAUAGACGAUCCGCUACGACAGCGGAUGUUAAACCAAAGGUUAAUUUUAAACAGUUGGUAGACGGGCAGGGUGAAACAGUGGCCGCUCCCGUUCGUCGUCCCGCUUCGGUGAACGAGUUCGAACGGCCGAAGCUGCGUACACACUUUGCCAACAGAUCGGUGUCGUCGGUCGACUCGCUCAAGCGUCCGAUGAGGAAUGCCGGCGUGCAGGUCAAUCUAGCGGCCAACGGUGGGCCCAACAACAGUCAAAUCAUACCCACCAACCACCAGAUAGUGCCGGCGGCGCAGCAACGGCCCGGCAGCUGGCAGGGUGCCGUUGCCGUUCCGCACUCGGGGCAGCCACCAGUUGGGAUGGUGCAGUCGCCGCCACAACCGCCUCCGGCGGCCGCCUAUCAGUUCAUCCGUCAGCGACCAGAUGCGGCACGGUUUUACGGUGGCGGAUCGACGCACACGGUAGCACCCCUCUACUCGGAACCGUUGCGCGAGCUGCCGAUGAUGGUGCAGGAUGAGGUAGAUUCUGGCUUCCGGUCCGCGGUAGACAACGGCUAUCAUAUUUACGAGCAGACGCCGGAUAAUUUGCGCCGCAGCGAGCUGGUUUACGGUAAAAUCGGUUACCUUAGCAACACGCAGCUGAACCGUUGGCAUCCCCAGGAUCGCCGCUCAUACAGUAGCAUGCAGGAGGGCGUAGCGGGUACGGGCAGCAACGGUGGUACGUACGGCCGCCUGCGACCGGUGUACGUGUCCUCCCCACUGUCCACCCAGUCCACGCCGGUGCGCCGCGCCUCGGACGUACUCGAUCGUGAGCAAAUCCUUCACCGGAUCUACGACUUCUGUCGCCGAUCCAUACGAAACAGCAGCAAAACGAGCGUGAAUUCGAACCAUACCGAACCGACCUACCAGAGCAGCAACGGUACGCCCGGCACGACGAAACUCGUGCCCAGCGGAACAUUCCCGAUCGAACGGCAACGGGUGCAGCGCGUUCAAAGCUUAAACACGCCACGACCGCUCGCUCCGACGAAUCAGUACGGCACGGGCCGCUAUACGCGGGCCGUAACCGCCGUUCCGGCUGCCCCAAUGCACUACCAUCCUUCCAACAGCCAGCCUAUCGUUACGGGGCGUCAGAAUCAGCACGAACGCAACAUCGAGAAUAUCUACGCGUUUGUCAACAAAAAGAUGGUACAGAUGAAUGUGAGCGGAGGAGAUGACCGUAGCGUAAGAUCGGUACAAACCUCGGCACCCUCCACCCUGCGCCGGGUGACAUUUUCGAGCACAGACCGACCACCGGGCGUGGUGAUGACCGAUGGGCUCGAUGAAGCGGACUACGUUAACAUUCGUGGUGCUCCCGAUGGGCUACUAACAUACGGAAUUGGUUCACUUUGAGUAUGCUUUUACCACUAGUACAUGCCUGGAGCUUUUCUUUAGCAGCAGAAGUAUCCAGUACAGAACGACACAAUGCUGAGAGAUUUCAAGUGGGCGCCUGUGUUGGGCGUUUUCGCUAGAAUAAGCCAACGUGUAGUAACCGUAACUGUUCGUUCGUAAGCAGAACCGUGAUAGCAACACACCGCUAAAAUGAUAACAAAACAAAUAUGAAAGCAAUAUACAUACAGUAUUCUAAAUUUGAACGCUAACGACGCACCAGUCAAACAAACAUGCUAACAAAGCUAGAAGCAGAGACCUUUUUGAAUCCUAUUAGUAUCUAUAUAACACAAGGCAUAGAGUUUUGCUAAACCGUUUUUUAAAACAUAUAUAAUAUAUAUAUUGCGCGCAUAUACCUACUAUACAGACUACAUUCAUAAAUAAAGAUGAAAAGCAAAACAAACAUUUUAUACACCAUUUUAUAUAUUUUGUAUAUUUGAAAAUAAACUAUUGUGACACCAUUUGGAAGCGCUUGAA